UUCGAGCGUCAUUAUCACCCCUCAAGCUCCGGCUUGGUGUUGAGGCCUGCUGUAAAGGCACCCUCUAAAAUCAGUGGCAGUGCUGUCAGGCUCUAAGCGUAGUAAUUCUCUCGCUAUAGGGUCCUGGUGGACACUCGUCAGAACCCCCCCAUCUUUUAAUGAUUGACCUCGGAUUAGGUAGGGAUACCCGCUGAACUUAA
rnacentral:misc_RNA from 1 species